rnacentral:rRNA from 1 species
AGAGUUUGAUCCUGGCUCAGAACGAACGCUGGCGGCGUGCUUAACACAUGCAAGUCGAACGAGAAAGAGGUCUUCGGACCUUGAGUAAAGUGGCGCACGGGUGAGUAACGCGUAGAUAACCUGUCCAGGUGUUUGGGAUAGCCCUUCGAAGGGGGGAUUAAUACCAAAUACGUUAGUUUGUCAUAAGACAGAUUAAGAAAGGUGGCCUCUAUUUAUAAGCUAUCGCAUUUGGAGGGGUCUGCGUACCAUUAGUUUGUUGGUGGGGUAAUGGCCUACCAAGACUUCGAUGGUUAGCGGGUCUGAGAGGAUGAUCCGUCACACUGGCACUGAAACACGGGCCAGACUCCUACGGGAGGCAGCAGUGAGGAAUAUUGCGCAAUGGGGGAAACCCUGACGCAGCGACGCCGCGUGGGUGAGGAAGGCUUUCGGGUCGUAAAGCCCUGUCAGAAGGGAAGAAAUGUGUAGUGGUUAAUACCCAUUGCACUUGACGGUACCUUCAAAGGAAGCACCGGCUAACUCCGUGCCAGCAGCCGCGGUAAUACGGAGGGUGCAAGCGUUGUUCGGAAUCACUGGGCGUAAAGGGCGCGCAGGCGGUUUGAUUAGUCAGAUGUGAAAGCCCACGGCUUAACCGUGGAAGUGCAUUUGAAACUGUCAGACUUGAGUACCAGAGGGGGUAGUGGAAUUCCCGGUGUAGAGGUGAAAUUCGUAGAUAUCGGGAGGAAUACCGGUGGCGAAGGCGACUACCUGGCUGGAUACUGACGCUGAGGCGCGAAAGCGUGGGGAGCAAACAGGAUUAGAUACCCUGGUAGUCCACGCCGUAAACGAUGUGAACUAGGUGUAGGGGGUGUUGAUCCCCUCUGUGCCGCAGCUAACGCAUUAAGUUCACCGCCUGGGGAGUACGGUCGCAAGAUUAAAACUCAAAGGAAUUGACGG